CCGGGCUGCAUAGAGAAAGAGAGGCCACGUGGGGUGCAUAGAGGCUGAGGGAAAGAGAGGCGGAGGGCCAUAGAGACAAUGGGGUGCAGUCUGGGGCUUGGGCCAGGGCCUCAGAGGAGUCAGAGUUGCAGUUUCUGGGAUCUGGGCUGUGGCUAUCAGUCCUCCUUCCGGGUGCUGUGUGUGAAGCAUUCCGUGUUCUCUUUGCCAUCAUUGUAUCGUUUAGCUUUCUGCUGACCUUGACUAUCCGUCUCCCCUGCCAACAGGCCCUGUCACAAAGAAUGACCCAUUGGCCCAACCCAAUUGGCACCUGAACAGAGACCAGAGUAAGGAGAAAAGGGUUCGGCAACAGUUCCCAAAUUAGGAGGCACCAUAUUUUCUCCAAUACAUUCGAGUAUAUUCUGGUCUCCUUGGUCUUUUGGCAGAGGAAGGUGAUGGUCCGUCUUGGGUUCCCGAGAGUCUUGUCAAACACUCCCAGAUCACAAAAGCGAUGGCUGCAUCACAGGCGCCAGAAGUUGAGGGUGCAGAAGAUGAUGAGUUUCAAGGCACAGCAGAGCCCAAAGCGUCCUAUCCAGUCUACCCAGAAGCGUCUGUUCCAGACUUGGAAACAGAUUAAACACUUUACUGCUGAAGGCAUUCAAGUGGUCAAGGCCAAAGGGCAACGUAUUUCUCCUACUCGCUUAGUUUCAGCAUUUCUGUCAUUAUUCUCUGUCCCGUUGGCAGAAAGUGUGGGGGUCUACUGGGCUUAGGUGCCUGAUCCUGCUUUGGCCCACCCAGUCACUUGGGAGGAUUCAGCAACUGGAGUGUUUACUAAUUAUAUAGUGGUUUUGACAGUCCUGAUAUUUCUCAUGUGCUGCCUUGCACUGUGCUCUCAUCCAUCGUUCCCAUUUGUCAUUGGUGAGUCACUAUGCAUGUGUCCCUCUAAUCCAAGUGAUCCAAAAAACUUGUCUUUGGGGUACAGGAGAGUUUUCUAAACAUCAUCAGUUCGCCCAUCAAUUUAGUUUUCCAGUCUCUAAUCAUUCACAAGUUACCCCAUUGGAUGGAUGUGUCCAAGUAUGCAAUGAGAAUCCUGUGCCCUGGUUUCCAGAAUGGAAUUCCCAUGCCAUGGUUCUAAAGAAUUCUGUGCCUCUGAAUGGAUGACCUAAGGUGCUUGUCGACUUGUCUUAGAGGUGGCCACCUGGCCUGGAUGAAGAUAACUUAGGUGCCCAGGGCCAUGUAGGAGGAAUGGCAAAUGGCUUUAGAACUCAUGGAAUUUGGCUCACAGGUUACCACAGUCACAUGGGUGAGCCUUGGUGUGGUAAAGCCCCAAGGACCACGUGCCCUGAGGACUUUAUGCUGUUACAGAGUUCUGCUCUGCUUGCUGCCCUCAUAUCCCUCUUCAUCUAAGAACUGUAUGAAAACUUUAAGGGGGCUUCCAGCCCCUCACUGGGCAGUAUCUCUGGCACUCACAGUACAAAUGUUUGGUCUCUUUCAGGCACUGCUGCUGGAGCAGAUUAAUGAUUCUAUCACCACCCUAGGAAAGAACUUAGAGAUGCAGAUUGUCAGCAGUUACCACGAUUCUUAGAAAACAUUUGGAAAAAUAAAGUUGUUGGUGAAACUAGGUUGAGAUAUUUUUGAUACUGGCUGAUAUAAAAUAAUCUUAGGAAACAAUCUGAAGUUCAGAAAGGCACACUCAUAUUAGUUAUGCUAGGGACCUAAAGGUCAGGGAACAAUGGCAGCACUGGCUGACGUGACUCUCACUGAGGCUGGACUGGUGGUAAUUGACUUCUUAUUCUCAGUUUUGCCCUCAGCUUCCUGAUACAGUAUAAGAAUUGCUGAUGAAUAGAUAUGUAUUUUAAGGAUUUAUGAUAGAUAUGACUGCUUUUCAUAUAAAAGUUUAGAUUUGUGAUUCUUUUAAGAUUCUCACAAUAUUACUUUAAAGAUAAAUAAUAAAAUAACUACUCUUUUCUUUGUAACCACAAAUUGCAUCCUGCCAGUAAGAGAAACUGGCUGAGCAAACUCCCUUGCUUACUCACACUUUGUUAAUCUAUAACAAGUUGCUUAGUUACGAAUGUAUGUGGCUUUGGGGGAAUAAUUUGUUUUCUUUACCUGUACUAUCUAAUGUUAUUUCUUGUAAAGGUAUUGGAAAACCCAUUGUAUUUUCAUAACCAUUUACUAGAAGAAAACUAAAACCUCAGCACAUUGUAAUUGUAUAUUGCUUGAAAGAUUUUGUUGGGAUGUAUAAGCUAUGGAAGAAAGAAUAAAGUAUGAGGG
rnacentral:lncRNA from 1 species